rnacentral:rRNA from 1 species
GAAAGCAUCUAAGCACGAAACUUGCCCCGAGAUGAGUUCUCCCUGAGACUUAAAGUCUCCUGAAGGAACGUUGAAGACGACGACGUUGAUAGGCCGGGUGUGUAAGCGCAGCGAUGCGUUGAGCUAACCGGUACUAAUGAACCGUGAGGCUUAACCUUACAACGCCGAAGAUGUUUUG